UCCAGCAUCCCACACACCCAUCCCCCAGCAAAUCCAUUCCCAACCCCAGCAUCCCAGCCCCCCACACCCCGUCUCCAGCAUCUACCAGCCCCAAACACCUUCAUUCCCAGACCCACAAACCUCCUCCCUAUCAGUCUCCAUUCCCAUCUCCACACCACACACUCCGUUUCUCAGCAUAUCCAACUCCCAGACCCACAGAACGCCUGUGCCCUGCACAAAAGAGAUAGGGUUGUCAGUUUGAGAGGACUAUCUUGUGAUGUUCCACACAACUCUUCCCUGCCAUGCCCACUCUCAACACUAUCUCCCACAGAUCAGAAAGUGACUGCUCUCCAGUGUCUAGUUAAGUGCAUAUUUUCAAGUAGACUGCCAGAGAUGCAUGUGCAAAAUCCCAGUUUGUGUGCACAUGUAACAAUAGAUUUGCAUGCAGCCAUGGGCCCAUGCAUUUAUUUAUGUAUACUUACUUAUUUGGAUUGAAAUUCAACAUAAAAGAAUGCCUAGCUGAAACUCUAGACACCCUUGACAGUAAUUAUAAAUACAACAUGAAAAUAAUUAAGAAGGUCAAACUGGAGCAUGGGUCACUACAUAACAAUUAUUAGUCUGCAUGCAUAUUACAGAUUAGAACCUUCCAUUUCUCACAUUACCAUUAAGUCAGCCUCAGUUCUGCCAAAAAUCCACUCAGAGAAAUGGGCUAUGGAGCAUGCCUGGAAAAGCAACAGAGUUGAGCUAUUUUGGACCAAAAAGGGGAGUAUAUUCCAAAGCUGAGGAGCCCUGGAGAAUGCCCAACCAGCAGCUCCCUCCUUUUUUGUAUUGAGGGGCUCCAGCUCAGAUGCCUCUACUGAUCUCAACUCCAGCACUAUGGCACGUAAAAAGAAGUAUCUCAGGGUUGCCAGGACGGCUAUUAGCAAUCAUGUUUUAAAGCCGGGGUCCGCUAUGCUAGACACUCUGCUAACACAGAGGUGGACAUGGUCCCUGCCCUGAAGAGAUUACAGUCUUCCAGUCAUUCCCUGUGGUGUUGUGAACCCAGAGAGAACAAGAAGCAGCACAGGGCUUAGCUGGAAUAAAGACUGAAUUGCUUCUUACCCCAGAGAAAGGUGAUCUUUGCAGCUGAAGUCAUUAGUAAUGUAACAAGAAAUUCAUGGUGCGGAUUCUAAGAUCUUCAUGUAGCCUGGGGGGACGUAAGAAGCUGUUAUGCACACACAAUGAAAUUCAUUCCUGUGCGCAGAAGGGCCAGACAUGGCCUGGGCAUCAUUGAAGUCCCAGUUAAGCCCUACAGAAUUCACUAGUGCCUGGGCCUUGAGCUGGCUCUCCACACCGGGGUUAAUUUCACCCAUCGUGUCAGCCUGAAGUAGCCUUCUACUGUAAUGAUUAAAACUCUGCAAUCAGUACUGAGUGUCUUGUCAGAAAAAAGACCCACAGGAAUCCAAUAAGGUUCACUUCAUCAAGGAUAAAACUGACUGAAUAUUUACAGACGGCAACAUGUACUAAAUAAACCACAGAGUGGGACAAGUAGGAAAAGAGAAAAACCUCAACAUCCCUCCACCACCUGCAAUAAAAUAUAGACCUGCCAGACCACAUCCACUUGAAAAGGAAAGGAAGGCUUGAGAUUCUGCACUCUGGAUGCCACAUCUGAUCUUUCGAAUAGAUCAAAGAGAAGAAAAUUUCACUCACCAGGCCUCGCUGCCCAAACUUUCAGGAUUAUACCUUGGGGAAAAGUUGACCAUUUCAGUCCUACUGUGACGGAAAAUAAGGAAGCAGGUGGUCCCAUAACUACACAGGAGUGAUAUUUAAGGCUUUGAAUACUAAAGGCAGGGUUGCUAAAGAAUAAGCAGACGGUGCAGGUCUCACAGCACAAGCCUCAGUGACUCUGGCAUCCUGCAAUUAUUUGCAACCCAUGUUUGGUUUUCAAGGGUAGCCCAGAUAAACAUCAUAGA